AUGCAAAGCAAUUGUACAAAACCAUCAAACUACAUGUUUUUAAGCUAUGUGUGGGUUGUUUACUCACUUCUCUUCUUCUCCGUUGGAGAACUCGUUGCCUCUACGUCAGGUGGAGGCAGCGGCUCUGUGUUGGCGGGAUUAUUUUUCUUUUUCUUCUUGACACUCUUGACCUGCUCUGUUGUUUCCUCUACCUUAUUAUCUAUUAUAUCCUCAACUACCUGCUCUCUUUCUUCAUCAGGUUUUUCUUUUUUCUUCUUCUUUGAUUUCUUUUCAUGCAGUACUUGUUCUGGAUUUUCCUCACCAUUAAGGAAGUCCCUUUUCCUCUUCUUUGCCUUCUUUUCUACAGACGUCUGCUCUAAAGUCUCAAUUUCUUCAGCUUUUUGCUCUAUAUUAUUUGCUAUGUCUUCAGCUUUUUGCUUUGAAAUGCUUUCACUCUCAAAUGUCAAUGCAUUUUCCUCACUCCCUGUUUUCUUCUUUUUCUUCUUCUUGGCUUUCUUUUCUUCUGCUAUGUGGUCUGAGGUUUGGUUGUUUUCUUCCUGUUUGCUCUCUGUGUUUUUUUUCACUUCCUCAGAUACCUGCUCAGAAUUUCCAGUCUGUGCCAAACUUCUCUCACUACCAGCCUUCUCUUUCUUCUUCUUCUUUUGCUUCUUUUCUUGUACCGUUGACUCUGAAAGGGUUUUCUCGUCAGCGUUCCCUCUUGUGUUUGUCUCAAUCGUCUCAUUUCUUUCAGCAUCAUCUUUGGUUUCUUUUGCCUUUUUAUUCACCUUUGGAGGUUUUUUAGCCUCCUCCUGCUUCGUGUCUUUGGUUUUUCUCGUCUCUUCGCCACAUUCCUCUUUUCCAUCUUCACCCGUCUCAUUCUUUUCCUCCUUGUCUGCAAUUUUCUCCUUCUUUUUCUUCUUCUUCUUGGGCUCAGAUGUUCUGUCAUCAGUUGUUUGUUCACUGGGAGUUGCAGUUUCCCUGUGCUCUUUUAUUUGUUUGUCCGCUGGAGAUGAGAGGUUCUGCUUUUGGCUCGGAGUGCUUGAGGUCACAGAAAUCACAUUUUUUGUCACAUUCUUCUUGGUCGAGCUUGUCUUUGUUUUUUUUUCAGUCACAUGUUUCUCGCCACCCUCUUCAUUGUGUUUCACUGUCCCGUUACUCUGUUGA
rnacentral:lncRNA from 1 species